UACGUAGGGCGCAAGCGUUGUCCGGAAUUAUUGGGCGUAAAGAGCUCGUAGGCGGUCUGUCACGUCUGCCGUGAAAACCCGAGGCUUAACCUCGUGGCUUGCGGUGGAUACGGGCAGACUGGAGGUAUGCAGGGGAGAACGGAAUUCCUGGUGUAGCGGUGAAAUGCGCAGAUAUCAGGAGGAACACCGGUGGCGAAGGCGGUUCUCUGGGCAUGUCCUGACGCUGAGGAGCGAAGUGUGGGAGCGAACAGG
rnacentral:rRNA from 1 species